UACAGAGGGUGCAAGCGUUGUUCGGAAUUACUGGGCGUAAAGCGUGCGCAGGCGGUUUUGUAAGUCUGUCGUGAAAUCCCCGGGCUCAACCUGGGAAUUGCGAUGGAGACUGCAAGGCUAGAAUCUGGCAGAGGGGGGUAGAAUUCCACGUGUAGCAGUGAAAUGCGUAGAGAUGUGGAGGAACACCGAUGGCGAAGGCAGCCCCCUGGGUCAAGAUUGACGCUCAUGCACGAAAGCGUGGGGAGCAAACAGG
rnacentral:rRNA from 1 species